rnacentral:rRNA from 1 species
UACGUAGGGUCCGAGCGUUGUCCGGAAUCACUGGGCGUAAAGGGCGCGUAGGCGGUGCGAGAAGCGUGUGGUGAAAGGCCGGGGCUCAACCCCGGCUCGGCCGUGCGGACUCUCGCGCUUGGUGAGUGCUGUAGAGGCGGGCGGAAUUCCGGGUGUAGCGGUGGAAUGCGUAGAGAUCCGGAAGAACACCGGUGGCGAAGGCGGCCCGCUGGGCAGUGACUGACGCUGAGGCGCGACAGCGUGGGGAGCAAACAGG